rnacentral:tRNA from 1 species
GCCUUCGUAGUGUAGUGGUUGGCACGCUCGAUACGGAACCGAGAGGUCCGUGGUUCGAUUCCCGGCGAAGGCG